rnacentral:rRNA from 1 species
GACGAACGCUGGCGGCGUGCCUAAUACAUGCAAGUCGAACGCAUUUUCUUUCACCGUAGCUUGCUACACCGAAAGAAAAUGAGUGGCGAACGGGUGAGUAACACGUGGGUAACCUGCCCAUCAGCGGGGGAUAACACUUGGAAACAGGUGCUAAUACCGCAUAAUUCCAUUUACCGCAUGGUAGAUGGAUGAAAGGCGCUUUUGCGUCACUGAUGGAUGGACCCGCGGUGCAUUAGCUAGUUGGUGGGGUAACGGCCUACCAAGGCUGCGAUGCAUAGCCGACCUGAGAGGGUGAUCGGCCACACUGGGACUGAGACACGGCCCAGACUCCUACGGGAGGCAGCAGUAGGGAAUCUUCGGCAAUGGACACAAGUCUGACCGAGCAACGCCGCGUGAGUGAAGAAGGUUUUCGGAUCGUAAAACUCGGUUGUUAGAGAAGAACAAGGAUGAGAGUGGAAAGUUCAUCCCUUGACGGUAGCUAACCAGAAAGCCACGGCUAACUACGUG